AUUGAACGCUGGCGGCAUGCCUUACACAUGCAAGUCGAACGGUAACAGGUCUUCGGAUGCUGACGAGUGGCGAACGGGUGAGUAAUACACCGGAACGUGCCCGAUCGUGGGGGAUAACGAAGCGAAAGCUUUGCUAAUACCGCAUACGAUCUACGGAUGAAAGCAGGGGACCGCAAGGCCUUGCGCGACCGGAGCGGCCGAUGGCAGAUUAGGUAGUUGGUGGGAUAAAAGCUUACCAAGCCGACGAUCUGUAGCUGGUCUGAGAGGACGACCAGCCACACUGGGACUGGGACACGGCCCAGACUCCUACGGGAGGCAGCAGUGGGGAAUUUUGGACAAUGGGCGAAAGCCUGAUCCAGCCAUGCCGCGUGCAGGAUGAAGGCCUUCGGGUUGUAAACUGCUUUUGUACGGAACGAAAAGACUCUGGUUAAUACCUGGGGUCCAUGACGGUACCGUAAGAAUAAGCACCGGCUAACUACGUGCCAGCCGCCGCGGUAA
rnacentral:rRNA from 1 species